UGAAAAACAGUCGUGAGGAGAGAGAGAGAGAGAGAGAGAGAGAGUAGGAGCAUUUCAGUUGAGCCUAUUCUGCCCUGGUUCGUGUUUGCUGCGGUGACACGGUGCCGCACUGAGUGAAGAUUGCGUUCAUAAUCACUUAUCGGGGGUGGAGUGGGGAAAGGAGAGUCAGGAAGUGAGGAUAUUUAUAUUAUUUGACAUAUUAUUUGAUAGCAUGUCAACUUUUGUGUGUGUGUGUGUGUGUGUGGGGGUGGGUGUUGGAUCAGUGACAGGUGGCGCUGGGGAGUUACCACGGCGAGCGGCUGGCUGGCUGCAGUGUUUUGGUCAGCACUGGUCAAUCUCGCCCUACACGCUCUAUUAACCAGUGUUUCCGUCUUCCCGACACCUUCUUCCUGCACCAAGCACCGUCAAGCAUCACCAGAGAGGCACGAGUACGUAAGCUAUCCAACAUCAGAACAGUAUAUGAAUAUGGCAAAUGCUGUUUUGACAUCAUUUCCUACCAUCCUGAGAAACACUGAUCUCGAGGAGCAUGAAUUGCAGCUGCAAUGGAAAUUGCGCAUCCAGCACAAGUUUCAGAAUUCAAGAAAGAGGCAGGAUUCCUCAGUGACUGAGGUGAUGUCAAGGAAAAAGAAGAUCCCUUGCAUAGCACCAAAAGAGACUACGUGUCCCACUGAUGUGUGGAGUAAAGGCUUACCUUCCACCAAGGCCCCAUUCAGAAGAUGAUGAGUCAUUAGAGGGACAUAGACAGUGGCUUGCUCUACAUUGGAUGAAGAAAGAUCCCGAGUUAGAUAAGGCUGAACACCUCAUGCAGUUGACACUUUCUGAGACGCAAAAAAAUAAUCAAUGGGAACAUUCUUGUAGCAGAAAUCCUGAACUUGUACCCGUGGAUUCAGACUUUUGAUGGCAUAAUCAAGGAGUUCCUGAGAUUAGAACCACAAACGGAUGAACCAGACCCAAGAGUAGCAGUUUUGAAAGGGCUGGAGAAAUAUAGGCUCUCAAUAAUUGCCAUUCUCAAAAAAAGAAAAGCAGUUCCUCUGUACAUGGAAACCUUACUUGAACUCUAUGACCACGAUGAAAGUCAAUAUGCUUGCUUAGUUAUAUUGGGGUUACUUCACCUGCUUGGAGAAAGGAAAGACUCCAUUUUUACUAAGGUACCAGAAGAAGAACUAAGAACAGGGCAGUCUAGUGUGUAUUUGAUGGUGCACCUGUAGCUGAACCAACAUGUAUUUCUAUGGCUGUAGUCUCAUUGGUAGCAGGGCUUUGUGUUUAAUAUUGAAUACCCAAAAAUUGUGAACAUUUCCUCCGUUUCACAACAUCCCAUCUCUUAGGUAUCAAGUAUGACAAAGGUAACACUUCAAAAACAAGAUCUCUACUUGUAAAACUCAAUGAAGUAAAGACAGAAUUGAGCUACAAAAAUGCAUAAAUCUGCUUCCAAAUAUAUUCAACUCCACACAUAAUGCUCUCUCUCUCUCUCUCUCUCUCUCUCUCUCUCUCUCUCUCUCUCUCUCUCUCUCUCUCUCUCUCUCUCUCUCUCUCUCUCUCUCUCUCUCUCUCUCUCUCUCUCUCUCUCUCUCUCUCUCACACACACACACACACACACACACACACACACACACACACACACACACACACA